rnacentral:rRNA from 1 species
UACGUAGGGUGCGAGCGUUAAUCGGAAUUACUGGGCGUAAAGCGUGCGCAGGCGGUUUUGUAAGCCAGGUGUGAAAUCCCCAGGCUCAACCUGGGAAUGGCAUUUGGGACUGCAAGGCUGGAGUGCGGCAGAGGAGACUGGAAUUCCUGGUGUAGCAGUGAAAUGCGUAGAUAUCAGGAGGAAUACCGAUGGCGAAGGCAGGUCUCUGGGCUGACACUGACGCUCAUGCACGAAAGCGUGGGGAGCAAACAGG